GGGCAGCACGGGUAGCAAUAUCUGGUGGCGACGGCGCACGGGUGCGUAACACGUAUACAUCUACCCUUAACAGGGGAUACCCUCCAAAGGAGGAUUAAUACCCCAUAAUAAAUUGAAUGGCAUCAUUUGAUUUGAAAGUCCGACGGUUAAGGAUGAGUAUGCGUCUGAUUAAGCUAGUUGGUGAGGUAAAGGCUCACCAAGGCAACGAUCAGUAGGGGAUCUGAGAGGACUACCCCCCACACUGGUACUGAGACACGGUACCANGACUCCUACGGGAGGCAGCAGUAAGGAAUAUUGGUCAAUGGAGGCAACUCUGAACCAGCCAUGCCGCGCGCAGGAAGACGGCCCUAUGGGUUGUAAACUGCUUUUGUACGGGAGAAAACCCUUUCACGUGUGAGAGGUUGAUAGUACCGUAAGAAUAAGCAUCGGCUAAGCUUCGUGCCAGGCAGGCCGCGGUUAGACGAAGGAUGCAAGCGUUAUCCGGAUUCAUUGGGUUUAAAGGGAGCCGUAGGUGGACUUGUAAGUCAGUGGUGAAAUCUCUCAGCUUAACUGAGAAACUGCCAUUGAUACUGCAGGUCUUGAGUACAGAUGAUGUGGGCGGAAUAUGACAUGUAGUGGUGAAAUACUUAGAUAUGUCAU
rnacentral:rRNA from 1 species